AAGCACGUUGAGGGUAAGAUGUGA
rnacentral:snRNA from 1 species